CAGGCAGAGGAGUGCACAGAACUGGGGUGGAAAGAAGUAUUAAGAGCUCUGAGUCUUGCUGGGAAGAGCCCGGCGGGUAGAGAGCUUUGUUUCUGCUCCUGCUUUUCCAGGAGCACUGACAGCAUCCUCAUAGAGAGGCUUCAGACAGCCUGCAGGUGAAGCUGGUGCCGUGCACGUAUUGUGACAGGAUCCCUAAGGUACUGUCUCAUUAUGUAAAGCAUCCAAACAGCAAAGGCCUGUUGCCCAUCAGCUAAUUAGCCUCAAGCCUUAAGUUCCCCCAACUGGAGUGACUUCAUGCUGUAGUAAGGGAGGAGGCUCCUCAAACUCGGGUUCUGUGACUGCACAUCUUCAACUUCAAGCCUCUCUGAGCUGCUGAUGGUGGAAGAAGCAGCCUCCAGACGUGCCAACCUGCAAUAUCUGUGCUGGGUGAGCUGCGGCCUUGAACCUUGCAGAGAUUGUUGUGGUGUGCAGCUGCUGUGAGCUCUGCUGUAACUUGGAGAGCUUUGCAGCACAGGGCUGGGGAGCUGGACUGAUUCUGUCCUUUGGCCUAAAAGCCUUCCUAGAUGGUGUCAGCUGUCAAACAGCUCCUGAGUGAUGAGACCCUUCUGCAUCAACCAUUCAUUCCUGUUCCCUGGAGCCUGUAGGUCAGCUGCACGUCCCCCAGCUGCAAGUGCAGUGUCCCUGCUGAGGGGAUACACACUCAGUUAUCCCCUUUCCCUGUGCAGAGCAAACAUGAUAGCAUGUAACUGAGAACAGAAUGGGACCGGAGCAGACUUCUGCUGAGCUCUCACCAACCCAGAGAGAGUGUUUCUGCACCACCAGUAAUGAAGACUUAAGGAUACCUUGCCUGCUCUGAAGAGUCCUUUCAGCAUUCCCAUAUUGUUUGGUAUCAGGUGGGCAAAGGGCGGUACCAAGGCUGAUUAGAUCUGAAUGGGUUAACAAGGGCAGAAUGCUGGUGAGAGAGCUGCAGCCAUUCCCACCUGAGCUCCUAAUGGGAGUCCUUCCUCAGCCCAGCCAUCAGCUUGUCUUAGAGACCUCCAACCUGCUGCUGGAUAGGACUGAAACAGGCUGACAGCUUCCUGUCUUAUUCACGCCCUUCUCCAAAGCUCUGAUGUGCCAAACCAGGGCCAGCCCCACCCAGGACGCUGCCUCCCCUCCUGAGCAUCUGUGCAGACACUAGGAAUGGGAGCAUCUCACAAGCAAGGUGUAGGGCAGAGAAAGAAGUGAUGGGUGAGCACUGGGACUGUGCUUGGAGGUGGCCCUUCUCAGUGCAGCUGACCGCUCUGGAAUUCAGCAGCCCAUUGAAUCCAACAAUCCAUUGGUGAAGUGCUCACUCUUUUUUACCCUAAACAAAGGGAGAAGCACCGUUCUGAUGAACUGUGGCACUUUCAUCUGCAACUGGAGCACCAUAUUGAUAAGCCAGGCAAAGAGAAGGCAAUAAAAGCCAGAGAUCAGCUGCCUGAGGAAGGAAGGCUGCUGAAGCAGAGCAGCACAGCCUGGUUUCUCUCCUAGCAAAUCUCUGCAAGGAAUUUCCAGCAUAAAACACUGUAUUUCUACGUGAAGGGAUUCAUACAUCAUCUCUUCCAACAAUCAUUCUCCGAUGCUGUGAGCUUGUUUGUAAGUUACACACAGAGAUAGUACAGUUUGUGCUCAAGGCCAACAGUUACCUAAGAAAGUGCUAAUCAAUAGGUUCCACAUUUGCUGUCUGUUCCCUGCUCAAAUGAAUGCUGUAACAUGCUACGUAAACGCUGUUUUUCUUCUCUGAGAUGUAAAGGAACUAUAUUAGGCUAUAUUCCUUCUGCAGCAUCCAAAGCAAAGAGCUAUUUUGUUUUCCCAGGACUGGACCAAAUUGAACUGUUUUCAGUGGCUGCUUUAAGGCUCACUCCUUGCAAGUAUCUACCAAAAACCAGAAACCAUCUGCAGCUUUGUGAAGGAUUUACCUUCUUAACAGGGUUAAGUCGAGCUCUGUACACUCAGUUUGUCACCUCUGCAGUUAUUAUACUUUGAAUGUGAGCGACCACACCAUGAAAUAACACGGGAGCAGCAGAGACCGAUGGUGCUGGCAGGGGGCAGGUUGUGCUAACCUGAACUGCAGCUACAUGGCUCGAAGUAGGAGCACCACAGCUCAAGUGCAGAUCCUUGCAGGUUCUAAGUGCAGGGAUUUAAAGGGGAUGGGGACAUUCAAGCUUUAAUUCAAGUUCACUUUGGAGUGGAAGCUCGCUUCAGGGCAUGAGUUUGUCGGCCUGCUGCCCAAACUGGAGAAUAAAGAGAAAAGCAAAUGGGAACUGAAGAAAUGAAAAUGUGCAAUAGUGUAAUUUCUUCUUCUCUGCUGCUUACACUGAAUGAGAUUUCCCUUUGGAUGAAUGUAAGGUUGCAUAAAAUUCAAAUAACUCAGCUGUCUACAGAUGGGGGUGGGAAGGAGAACAGAAGGAAGGAAGUGGAACUGAGAACCUUUCAAUGUCUUGAAUUUCAAGGAGGGAAGAAUUCUGUCCUGUUAAAUCUGCAGCCAUGCAAUUAAAACGUGAGCAAGCCUCAAGAGCCACACUAGCCCUAUAUCCCCAGAUCUCUGCUUUAAAGACAGACCUUCCAAACACACAAAGGAGAAACAACCGCCCUUAUGCUGUAAUGACAAAACUCUGGUUGAAAACCAAGUAGAAACGUUUGACAUGGCUCCAUUUCUGGAAUAAACACACAGCAAAGGGAAGGAUUCUGCAGAGCAACCAGCUGGGAAGCAUUGCUGUUUGUUAAUCCUUGGCUGUUCCAAGGACUCUCUUUGGUCAAUGUGUUGCAUGAUGUCAACAGGGUCCAUUUAAGACCCAACCUGUCUGUAUAUUCUAUCAAUGGCCGUUUAAGACCCAUCAUGUCUGUAUAUUGUAUCAAUGGCCAUUUAAGACCCAACCUGUCUGUAUAUUGUAUCAAUGGCCAUUUCAGAUCCAACCUGUAUAUUGUA